ensembl:lncRNA
UGUGACCCCAUCAUAUUUAUAGUGGAAAUGCAUACCGUACACCAGUGAAGCAAGUCUAGUCAAAUUUAGACACUUAGCACUUUUCACAAUUUAACAUAGAGCAGUUUUAUGGCUGGGCCAUAUGGAAAUAUAUAAUGCUUGUACAAAUUAAACUCCAAAUUUUGUGUAGAUGACAUACCAGUGCCAUAAUGUGUCAGGCACACUUUUUAUUGUUCAGUUGUAAUUAAGUCGCAAUGAAACAUAGUUAAUUACAUUUUCACUGGAAGAUUGAGUUAUAGCAUUUUGAUGAAACAUUACAAGGUUUUAAAAAUGUAUGAAUCAUUCACAAGAAAAUCUAAACAUACAUUUACAAAAUAGACAAGGCAGACUUUCAUGCCAACUUCCGCCCACUCACCUAACACAUGAAUGUUACAUGCUGUGUCAAAGCAGCUCGAGCGAUCCAAAUUUUGCUGUGUUGUUCCUGACAGACAAAACACAUGGAUUACAGUGAAAAAUGCAGCUGUCCUCCUUAUCCUUAAUAUUCGCUUCCUUUUCCAUUAGUUUCAAAGUAAUGCAACAUGGGUUUGUUCAAUAAGAAGUUUUAAUGUAGUAUGUGUGACAAAAAAUGUGUGUCUUAACAAAAUCCGUACAAAGGGGUUCACUAGAGAUGCAUUUUAAAAGCAUGUUAAAAACAAAGUGGAAGCACAAGUAGAUGUUACAAAAUCUGCUGGACAUUACUGCUGGCCGCACAUCCACCACUGUCAUUCUGGGUAAUCAACCUUUCACAGAUGUUUCUCCCAGAUGUCUUUCUGCCACCACCUCAGCUGGACACAGGAGCAUUUCAGCCAUCUCUUACCCCCUCUAGACGUUCAUCGUUUGCAGGUCUUAUGCAGUACAGUGAAACUGUGGCUCUGCACACAGGGCCUAAGCUGGAGUUGGGUCACAAGUCAAUUUUUUUGUGAUCUAUGCGUGAUUAAUGAUAACGUACCAGUACAGUGAGACUGAUAAUAUGUCCAUAGGAAAUUGCAAAUGGCAUUGGGAAGGAUUGUAUACAAAUUUAUCACUUCACAGGAAGCAGAUUGAAACGUUUGUAUUAUGCAUAAUUAUGUCAGAGGCAUUUUAAAAGGAAGCUAUUUAAAAUUGUGACAAAUUUCAUUUCAAUACUUGACCCCAGGUUACAUACAUUACUGUUUAAAUGAUUUUUAUGAACAUUGUUAU